CCUCUUCUCCCCGACCCCCCGCCCUCGAACCUGUUCCACUUCUGGAUCUGCCUCUUCCCACCAUCUGUUCUUCCUGUCUUAUUUCUUAAAUAGUUCGUAUCCCACCGCGCUUAUUCUUCCUGUGAUUGAUCCGAUGCGGACGCGUUCUUGUCUGGCUUUGGGUAAUCGGGAAUAGGUUGAGCGAGGUUCAGACGCAAUCAGCUGAGAGUAUGAAUGCAAGGGGAGCGGUCAGGUUUGGCCCCUUGCUGAACCGUUGGCCUUAUCGGAAAUUCCGAGGGGCAAGGGCCGGCCCGGACCUCAAGCAGUGGGGUAGUUGCUAGACCUAAAGGUUUCUUAGGGCCCUUUUCUCUUUGUAAGUUCUCUAUAACAUGUCCUGCUCUGCCAAAAUUGUAUGUCCAACCCUGCUAGUUGUAUUAGCUAAUUUACUGAACCAAGAUCCUACAAGAGCUGCAGUCGAUUCUGAGCAUCUGACGUUGCGAUUGGUGGAAGAGAUGCCAGGGCAUCACAGUUCAACCCCAGGAUCAUCAGGUUUGUUCCGGCGGGCAGAAGGGUUGAACCGGACCUCCCACAUCUAUAGCUGAGAGUAAUGGAGAACUGGGAUCAAGACAUUGUUUUGGAGUGCCGUAUUGUUCCUUCAGUUGAAGAAUUUAGAGGAACAUGAAUUUUCAGUUCCUGGCUAAACAAUCAUGAUAGGUCAUUAGGUUCAGAUGAGCUCGUGGCUCGUGCUUCUUUGCACGGACGCCAGAUGUUCAGGAGGCUUUGUUUCACCUGAGUUAUUAUUGGCUUUUUUUUUGCGGGAAUUAUUGGCUAUUUUUUGUUAACCUGAGAUAAUUCAUUAUUGAUUGGUUUGGUGAAACCUCUAACUGCUCUGUUGCCAAUGUAUUGGAUUACUAUAUCUUGUUUGGCGACGGUGGAACCUUAAAUAGUUUCUAUGAUACUCG